rnacentral:rRNA from 1 species
AUUGAACGCUGGCGGCAGGCCUAACACAUGCAAGUCGAGCGAGCGGCGGACGGGUGAGUAAUGUCUGGGAACCUGCCUGAUGGAGGGGGAGAACUAAUAGGAACGCUAACUAAUACCGCGUCCCAUUGAGUGUGCCCAGAUGGGAUUAGCUGGUGGGUUGGGUAACGGCCAACCUAGGCGACGGUCACUAGCUGGUCUGAGAGGAUGAUCAGCCACACUGGAACUGAGACACGGUCCAGACUCCUACGGGAGGCAGCAGUGGGGAAUAUUGCACAAUGGGCGCAAGCCUGAUGCAGCCAUGCCGCGUGUGUGAAGAAGGUCUUCGGGUUGUAAAGCACUUUCAGCGGGGAGGCGUUACCAGCAGAAUAAGCACCGGCUAACUCCGUGCCAGCAGCCGCGGUAAUAC